AGCGCCUCCCAGCACUCCUCCAUGUUCUCCUCCAUCUGCCUCCUGUCCAUUGAUCAGCCUUCCAGGGCAUCAGUCUGUUUAACAUCUGCUACAAGUUCCAGCAGCUCAGAUGCGCAGAGACUGUAAUGAAGAGCUCUUGAACUCACAGUCAGAGAAGCUGUGACAGGAGUUCAGGAGGAUGCCUCUUUGGCUCUGCUGGACGUACAACACACACACACCGAUUGUGGAGAGAGAUGGGACGGAAGAGAGCGGAUGACAUGCAGCAAAGGGCCGGAGUUGGAAUCGAACCUGCAGCCACUGCGGCAAGGACAUGGCCUUUGCACAUGGGGCACCUGCUCUAUCAG